AAUUUUGGACCAUGGGCGCAAGCCUGAUCCAGCAAUGCCCCGUGCAGGGCGCAGGCCUUCGGGUGGUAAACUUCUUUUGUACGGGACGAAAGGCCCUGGGUUAAUACCUUUGGGUCAUGACGGUACCGUAAGAAUAAGCAACGGCUAACUACGUGCCAGCAGCCGCGGUAAUACGUAGGGUGCGAGCGUUAAUCGGAAUUACUGGGCGUAAAGCGUGCGCAGGCGGUUUUGUAAGACAGAGGUGAAAUCCCCGGGCUCAACCUGGGAACUGCCUUUGUGACUGCAAGGCUAGAGUACGGCAGAGGGGGAUGGAAUUCCGCGUGUAGCAGUGAAAUGCGUAGAUAUGCGGAGGAACACCGAUGGCGAAGGCAAUCCCCUGGGCCUGUACUGACGCUCAUGCACGAAAGCGUGGGGAGCAAACAGG
rnacentral:rRNA from 1 species